rnacentral:rRNA from 1 species
UACGGAGGGUGCAAGCGUUAAUCGGAAUUACUGGGCGUAAAGCGCACGCAGGUGGCUGAGUCAGUCGAUUGUGAAAGCCCUGGGCUUAACCUGGGAAUUGCAGUCGAUACUACUUGGCUCGAGUAUGGGAGAGGGCAGUGGAAUUCCCGGUGUAGCGGUGAAAUGCGUAGAUAUCCGGAAGGACACCGGUGGCGAAGGCGGCCUGCUGGGCAGUUUGGCUGACACUGAGGCGCGACAGCGUGGGGAGCAAACAGGG